CAGGACUUCAACUAUCAAGAGCUAUAUGAAUCACCCUCCACAGAUACUCUUAUUUACUUAAUUUAAUUGAAAAAACAUUCUCACUGAAUUUAGCCUGAAUCUGAAGUUUGAAAACAUCAUUUUGGUACUUAGGGUAUUAGAGGGCUUUGAUGAAGUCUUUGUAGGAAUAUAGCACCUCAUAGCAAGUAAAUUUUAUCUACUUGAAGAUGUUUUACAAUUUCUUAUGGUUUUUUCUAGACUACUUAUAGAGAAUGGCAUUUCAUAUAUUCAUUUACCUAUAUAACUAAAAUAAUGUCAAUAUUCAUGUCCUAAUAACCUUUUCUUAUUUUCCAAUUCUUUUUUCUCAUCUCCUUCUUUGGUCCUGGGGAAAAAAAAAUGACUUAGAGCAGGUCCUUUAAUUUUCCCUUUACUUACUCUUAAAACCAAAAUACACUUUUGACAUUUCCAUUUUCUAGCAUGCCUUUCUGGAUUUUAUGGCUUGAAUUGUGCUCACAUCCGUGACAGCAAAAUGGAGCCAGUUGUGAUGUAGCAGGUGGACAGUGCAUUUGCCCAGCAGGUUUCCAUGGCAGCCAGUGUGAAAAAGGAUGCAGGUCAGGCCAGUUUGGACCUGACGGUGCUCCCAAGUGCCACUGUAUCCACAGAGUUCACCGUACCCCUUGUGAUGGGAGCUGCACUUGCCCCUGGAAGAGAAUGGGCCCAACCUGUGAGGAAAAUGAUUUGGACGAUCCUGAACAACCAAAUACAGCUUUUCAGUGGGCCAUCCUUCAUCUGAACAGAGGACAAAGUGAAGUGAAGAUUCAAAGCUACCAAGAAGAUUAAACAAAAAUGGAGUGCAAUACCUGCACCAUAUAGAUUCUCAUUAAAUGUAAGUGGAACCUGGACUGUUUAGUCUAAAUCUCUUAAUAGCAAUACCAUUGACAAUA
rnacentral:lncRNA from 1 species